rnacentral:rRNA from 1 species
CUUGGGCUUCGGCUCAAGUUGAGUGGCGAACGGGUGAGUAACACGUGGGUGACCUACCUUCGAGUGGGGGAUAACGUCCCGAAAGGGACGCUAAUACCGCAUAACAUCCUGCCUUUGAACAGGCGGAGAUCAAAGCCGGGGAUCGCAAGACCUGGCGCUUGAUGAGGGGCCCGCGUCCGAUUAGCUAGUUGGUGGGGUAAUGGCCUACCAAGGCGACGAUCGGUAGCCGGCCUGAGAGGGCGGACGGCCACACUGGGACUGAGACACGGCCCAGACUCCUACGGGAGGCAGCAGUGGGGAAUUGUUCGCAAUGGGCGCAAGCCUGACGACGCAACGCCGCGUGGAGGAUGAAGGUCUUCGGAUUGUAAACUCCUGUUGCCCGGGACGAAUGGCUCCAACCUAAUACGUUGGAGUGUGACGGUACCGGGUGAGGAAGCCCCGGCUAACUCUGUGCCAGCAGCCGCGGUAAUACAGAGGGGGCAAGCGUUGUUCGGAAUUACUGGGCGUAAAGGGCGCGUAGGCGGCCUGCUAAGUCGAACGUGAAAUCCCUGGGCUCAACCCAGGAACUGCGUCCGAUACUGGUUGGCUUGAAUCCGGGAGAGGGAUGUGGAAUUCCAGGUGUAGCGGUGAAAUGCGUAGAUAUCUGGAGGAACACCGGUGGCGAAGGCGACAUCCUGGACCGGUAUUGACGCUGAGGCGCGAAAGCCAGGGGAGCAAACGGGAUUAGAUACCCCGGUAGUCCUGGCCCUAAACGAUGAAUGCUUGGUGUGGUGGGUAUCGAUCCCUACCGUGCCGAAGCUAACGCAUUAAGCAUUCCGCCUGGGGAG